UAAAUAACGAAGGCGCUGGCGGCUUGCCUGCUAGCAUGCAAGUCAGCGGACAAUGGGAGCCUUGGCUUCCUGAUGUUCGCGGCGGAGGGGUGAGUAUCACGUGGGUAACCUGGCUGUAAGAUGGGGAUAACUCCGGGAAACCGGGGCUUAUACCGGAUGCUUGAUUGAACCGCAUGGUUCAAUUUUUUCAGGUGGUUUUUUGCUGCCUGUUACUAAUGGACCCUCGGCGCAUUGUCUAGUUGGUGAGGUAACGGCUCACCAUCGCUACCAUGCCUAACCGACUUGACAGGGUGAUCGGCCCCGCUGGGACUGACACACGCCCCAGACUCCUACGGGAGGCAACUAUUGGAAAUCUUCCGCAAUGGAGAAAAGUCUGAGGGACCAGCGCCACGUGAGUGAUGAAGGUUUUCGGAUCUUACAACUCUGUUGAUAGGGAAGAACAAAUACCCUUCGAAUAUGGCGGUUCCUUGACGGUACCUCACCAGAUAGCUACGGGUAACUACCUGCCAUCAUCCGCAGUAUUACAUCGGUGGCCAGCAUUGUCCGGAAUUAUUGGCGGUAAAGCGCGCGCAUGCGGUUUAUUUAAUAUGAUGUGAAAUCCCCUGGCUCAACCGGGGAGGAUCAUUGGAAACUGGUGAACUAGAGUGCAGAAGAGGAUAGUGGAUUUCCACGUGUAGCGUUGAUAUGCGUAGAAAUGUGGAGGACCACCGGGGCCGACUGCGACUCUCUGUCUGUACGUACGCUAAGGUGCGAAGCAUGGGGAUCAAAACGAUGAAAUCCCUGGCUAUCCGACGUAAAAGGGUGGGACUGUAAAGUUUCGCCCUUAUAGCGCACAACACCUACGGGUCGCCGGGGAUAGGUACCUAAUGA
rnacentral:rRNA from 1 species